GCGCACUUCGGCAGCACGUGUACUAAAGUUGGAGCGAUGCAGAGGAGAUGGGCAUGACCCUUGCGCAAGGGUGACGCAAAUUCAUGUAGCAAUUGUGUUUUUU